GAGGUAUCCAUUGAGGGCUGGAAACAGAAACACGCUAGUGGAAGAGACUCCCCUGCAGAGGCGACUGGGACCAGAAAUAGAAAACACUCAAUAAAAGUGAAGAUCAGCAUACACUGAGAACAGCCUCGGAGCUGCUGUGGGAACGCAAUAUGAGGUCAGGAGAAAACAGAGUGCUGCUCAUAUUUACAGGAGGCUCAGUCACCUUCUGUCAUAAUCCUUCACUGGCAUAUCUGCUGUCUUCACCAGAUUCUGUGCUCCUUGGAACUAGAAACCCUGUCUUGUUCAUCUUAACAGUUAUCAGGACCUAGCAGAAAAACUGGCACAUAGUAUCUACUUAAUGAAGUGACAAAAGCAUGUAGUAAGAUGGAAAGAAAAGGAAUUGAUUAAAAGGAAUUUAUGAGAA